rnacentral:rRNA from 1 species
GGGUUGUGAGGUUAAGCGACUAAGCGUACACGGUGGAUGCCCUGGCAGUCAGAGGCGAUGAAGGGCGUGCUAAUCUGCGAUAAGCGCCGGUAAGGUGAUAUGAACCGUUAUAACCGGCGAUACCCGAAUGGGGAAACCCAGUGUGACUCGUCACACUAUCAUUAACUGAAUCCAUAGGUUAAUGAGGCGAACCGGGGGAACUGAAACAUCUAAGUACCCCGAGGAAAAGAAAUCAACCGAGAUUCCCCCAGUAGCGGCGAGCGAACGGGGAGGAGCCCAGAGCCUGAAUCAGCAUGUGUGUUAGUGGAAGCGUCUGGAAAGACGCGCGAUACAGGGUGACAGCCCCGUACACAAAAGCGCAUGUGCUGUGAGCUCGAUGAGUAGGGCGGGACACGUGGUAUCCUGUCUGAAUAUGGGGGGACCAUCCUCCAAGGCUAAAUACUCCUGACUGACCGAUAGUGAACCAGUACCGUGAGGGAAAGGCGAAAAGAACCCCGGCGAGGGGAGUGAAAAAGAACCUGAAACCGUGUACGUACAAGCAGUGGG